AACGAACGCUGGCGGCAUGCCUAACACAUGCAAGUCGAACGAGACCUUCGGGUCUAGUGGCGCACGGGUGCGUAACGCGUGGGAACCUGCCCUUAGGUUCGGAAUAACUCCCCGAAAGGGGUGCUAAUACCGGAUAAUGUCUUGGACCAAAAGAUUUAUCGCUUUGGGUUGGGCCCGCGUUGGAUUAGCUAGUUGGUAGGGUAAAAGCCUACCAAGGCGACGAUCCAUAGCUGGUCUGAGAGGAUGAUCAGCCACACUGGGACUGAGACACGGCCCAGACUCCUACGGGAGGCAGCAGUGGGGAAUAUUGGACAAUGGGCGAAAGCCUGAUCCAGCAAUGCCGCGUGAGUGAUGAAGGCCUUAGGGUUGUAAAGCUCUUUUACCCGGGAUGAUAAUGACAGUACCGGGAGAAUAAGCUCCGGCUAACUCCGUG
rnacentral:rRNA from 1 species